UACGUAGGGGGCUAGCGUUGUCCGGAAUCAUUGGGCGUAAAGCGCGCGUAGGCGGCCCGGUAAGUCCGCUGUGAAAGCCGGGGGCUCAACCCUCGAAUGCCGGUGGAUACUGUCGGGCUAGAGUGCGGAAGAGGCGAGUGGAAUUCCUGGUGUAGCGGUGAAAUGCGCAGAUAUCAGGAGGAACACCAAUUGCGAAGGCAGCUCGCUGGGACGUAACUGACGCUGAGACGCGAAAGCGUGGGGAGCAAACAGG
rnacentral:rRNA from 1 species